rnacentral:rRNA from 1 species
GUUGAACGCUGGCGGCGUGCCUAACACAUGCAAGUCGAGCGAACAGACGAGGAUUUCGCCUCUCUUCCGCUACGGGCGGAUGGGUGAGUCCUACGUGGAUACCUGAUCUAUAAGACUAGCAUACCUUCGGGAAACCGGAUCUCACAUCCGUUAAUAUAGAGAAACGCAUGGUUCAUCAGUGAUAGCGCGUUUUGCUGACCCUAAUACAGAGAUCCUGGCCGGAUUAGCUAGUUGGUAAGGUAACGGCUUACCAAGGCGACGAUGCGUAGCCGACCUGAGAGGGUGAUCAGCCACACUGGAACUGAGACACGGUCCAGACUCCUACGGGAGGCAGCAGUGGGGAAUCUUCCGCAAUGGGCGAAAGCCUGACGGAGCAACGCCGCGUGAGUGAUGAAGGUCUUCGGAUCGUAAAGCUCUGUUAUUAGGGAAGAACAAAUGUGUGAGUAAAUAUGCACGUCUUGACGGUACCUAAACAGAAAGCCACGGCUAACUACGUG